AGAUUAAGUUAUUAAGGGCGCACGGUGGAUGCCUUGGCACUAGAAGCCGAUGAAGGACGUUACUAACGACGAUAUGCUUUGGGGAGCUGUAAGUAAGCUUUGAUCCAGAGAUUUCCGAAUGGGGAAACCCAGCAUGAGUUAUGUCAUGUUAUCGAUAUGUGAAUACAUAGCAUAUCAGAAGGCACACCCGGAGAACUGAAACAUCUUAGUACCCGGAGGAAGAGAAAGAAAAUUCGAUUCCCUUAGUAGCGGCGAGCGAAACGGGAAGAGCCCAAACCAACAAGCUUGCUUGUUGGGGUUGUAGGACACUCUAUACGGAGUUACAAAGGACGACAUUAGACGAAUCAUCUGGAAAGAUGAAUCAAAGAAGGUAAUAAUCCUGUAGUCGAAAAUGUUGUCUCUCUUGAGUGGAUCCUGAGUACGACGGAGCACGUGAAAUUC
rnacentral:rRNA from 1 species